GGUGGUGAGCACGGGAGCCCGACAGCGGGCUGAGAGGGAGCCGGGAGGCUCCGACCGUCGAACCUGAUCCGGGUAAUACCGGCGCAGGGAGCGUGUAUGUUCGUGAA
rfam:Saccharopolyspora rectivirgula strain DSM 43113 contig00043, whole genome shotgun sequence.